rnacentral:lncRNA from 1 species
CAAAUACAUUCAGAGCACAGAAUUUAUUGAACAUAACACGGAGACGGCUAGUACGGAAAGUUCACGCCUCGGCAGGGCAGGUUUCAUCAGGCUGACAUGGAACAUGUGAGAACAUGCUAUGAAUGGCUCCUUUGAUCUGGACACUAAGGAAACCCACCCCCUUCCCUUUGGGAGGUGGAAAAUCAGCCACGAAACCAUGCAUUUAUUACAUAUCAGAUAACCAACACAUACCAUGGUAAAGAGUCCUCUCCUACACCAACUUUUUAAAUGCAUUCCACGUCAAAACGGGUCAUACAACUUAAAAUACAUAAGAACGAUGAAAAUGAAAGCAUUCUAAGACAUGUCUAGAAUACUCAAUCCCCAAAAUGUUAACAUAUAUCGAAGUCAGGAUAAAAACCCUCAUCACAAACUGCAGAGAUCUUUUUUUUCAAGACAGGGAGAUGUAAGCUAUGGAAAGAACAGCAUGUGUUACUGAAACUACUUAUUUUCACAAAGAGAGAGGAGGUGAAGAGAACA